rnacentral:misc_RNA from 1 species
UCCUCCCUCAAACCCCUGGGGUUUGGUGUUGGACCAGGAAGCGGCGCGAGCCCCCUCCGGUCUCAAAGACAAUGACGGCGUCCGUGGGACCCUCGGUGCAACGAGCUUUUCGGAGCACGCGUCGAGUGUGUGUGUCCCUCCGGGCCGGUCUCCCCUUUUUAUUUUACCA